UCAAACCCCUAAAGGCCCUUUUAAGGGCCCCCAGAACGUCAGGAAAAGAGCCAACACUUCGUAUUUGCUGUGUGAAUGUGGGACCUAGGUGCAGAUAGGAGGUGACCAAGUUCAGACGCCGAAUGAAGGAGGCAAAGCGUGGGCGAAGUCGAAGGCGGGGCCUAGCUCGCGGCCGCUGCCCUACCUGGGACGAGCUGCACAGUUUGCUGCACCGAGCGGAUUUGGCAUCGUUCACUCUGUAG
rnacentral:lncRNA from 1 species